GAGGAGCAAGAUUUGGCUUUUUGUCUUUUAUAGCUUCCUUGCUGAACCUGCUUUCUGUUCUCCUGAUUGUUCAGCUCAAACCUUAUGCAUUUUUCUCUACCCCUUCAUCCCCCUAGGCUCUCACUUUGGUCUGAUACUUCCCUUCAUAUGUCCCUGACUCAAAAUAUAUUAUGGUUGGAUUUAUUCUGAUUUUGUCUCAUCCCUAUAUUGGGUAAAGAGGAUGUGACAACACCCUGUUCAAUUGCUCUUAAUUCUUUUUGCCUUUUCUCUUUCGAAUGUUGCCUGAUCCAAGAAUUUGCGAAUUCCCUUUGGUGAGAGAAACCUACUAUUCAAAUGCACAGUAGGUGGGACCUAUGACCUAAGGGAAAGGUUCAAACCUUCAGCUACUACCCUUACGGAAUGCCUGGUCCUUGCUCUCCUGCCUUAGCUGUCUUAAUCUGUUCCAGAAUGUCAUGAUAUUCUAGUAAAGUUUCCAAUAAGUAACAAGAGAAUGUAUUAAUAUAUAUGUAAUAAACAAUUUUUUAGUUACUUGUACUGAAAGAUUUUCUAGGUUUUAGGUGGUGUUUGUUUUCUCUUAAAGUUUUUUUUUUUUUACGUCUAAAUUAUUACUUUGAGAUUUAGAAUAGAAACCAAAACUGUUAUGACCUAUCUUGUUAAAGAGUUUUGUAUGAUUAUUUAUGUAUUAAAGCUGUUUUUAGCUUUCUCUCAGUACCCAGCUUUUCCAUAUUUGUUCAUGUUUAGAUUUUCAUUUUAA
rnacentral:lncRNA from 1 species